rnacentral:misc_RNA from 1 species
AGACUAGACUGGUGUCUUGUCUUACAGUCUUAGUCUUGUCAAGAGCCUACUCUUGGUCUUGUCUUAUUAGAGGUCUUGUUGGAGAGUGGACUGUGGCUCUGACUGUGGAGACUUGGAGCUAUGGACAAAUUAAGGAAAAAGCAACUAGAAGCUAUUCAAGUUGUUGAAGAAAGAAUAAAGCAAUGGUAGAGCCAGAACUACAGUCAAUCAUUUUGAUAAAACUCUUGCACGGUUGUAAUCUGGGCAAUGGGGGGGUAAAGCUAUAAUUUUUGUCUAGCUUGUUGUGACAAGAAUGUAGUAGCCAGACUCCUAGAAAGGAGCCUGGCAAUGCAACGCUAAGAAUGUACAUGUAUAUUGUUAGUCUCGCUAGCCAGACCAUUACCCAGCCUAUAUAGUCAGUGGGGUCCGAGGCUAUAUACAUGUAGGUUACAUGAUUAUGCAUUUGAUAUUUUGUGUCUUAUUUUAUGCCAUCUACAUGUACAUUGAAUUUUACUCAUGUCAAUUAAGUUUUAAAUGUAUUUGGUAUAGACCAGUUGGUGCUAACUACAGUCACAGAAUUUUAAGUAUAUUCAUCGUGAUACUGUAAAUAAAGUAAAAUCAAUGGUUGUCUAUGGAGCAAUCGCAAGAAGAGCUUAUUCUUUAACAACUGCUGUAUUUAUUUGUUACAGCAAUCAUUUCAGCAAUCUUGCUACUAACCAUCAUCCAGUGUCUGCAGUGGGCUCAUGGACUUUACUAAGUGCUACUAGAAGAUAUAGAAGCAAAGAUAUUGCUUUCUCCGAUUCUACUCUUAAUAAACUAAGACUCCAAAAUUGUGGAUUGAGUUUGAAAGGGACUAUGAAAUUUUAUUGGAACGUUUAAAUUCUUUGCCAAAAAAAUUAUCGGCUAACAUAAUGGUACCUAUUGGAAAAGUUGCCUAUAUCCCAGGACAAUUGUAUAGAACAAAUGAGGUACUAGCAUUCUUAGGUGAUAAUUGGUUUGCUGAAAGAACAGCUUAUCAAGUAUGCUACAUUGUUGAGCAUCGCUUACAAGGUAUUGCAAGUUAAUAUACAUGUAAGGAUGUACAUGUACCACUCACUAUCUAUUUGAUUUCAACAUUUUCUUAUGUUCAAAUGGCUGCAUCUAAAGUCUUUGUGGCUGUAUGAACUUUUUAGAUACAGGAUUUUCACCACACAAUACAGGCUUUAUGUUCAGUAGCAUUGCAAGUUACAUGUACAUGUACGUGUACAACUGUACAUGUUGCAAAAGUACUGGCAAUGUGUGGCUGCUUUGUCCCAUAUUUAAGUGCUGGACUAAGUUAUACAUGUGGUGCAUGUACAUUGUUAUGGUAAGUAUUUCAAUGAUUCAUGUUUUAAUUAAGCUGCAUUGUGAACAGUUUACAACAUGCAUGUUCCCCUUUUAAUGUGAACAUAUCGUAUUCCCUUAAAUGGGUGGCCCUACUCACAUAAGUGCCUAUCAAUAAUAUAUUACCAUUAUACAAUGUAGAUACGCAUAUUUUACCCAGUACUACAUGCAUGUGCAGUAUUGUGCACCUCUGUUUAGAGUGGUCCAAGUAGCCUAAUUGUUCAUCCUCAGUCUUCUGAACAUAGAGGUGCAGGUUUUAGCCUGGGUUUUGAUCUGUAUUAUUUUAGUAUUUUGUGAUUUUUGCCUCUGUUAAGCAGUAAAUGCCUAGGCCCUUAUUCAAGGAAAUAUGGUACAUGCAUGUACAUGUAGUUAAGGCAUUGAAUUUUUAUUAAAUGAAAACUUGAAUGAUGCUAUUUACCUGUACAUUGCACAGUGUGUAAUAUCAGUCACUUUUGAUAAAUAAAUUUUGGAAACGAAUAAUUAGAGUAAUCUAAGCCUUUAUGGCCAACUAACAAUUAAUUAUGAUGAAAUAGGAGGCACUAAGAUGCAUGUUUGGAUAAGAUAUUGUAAGUCUGCCGAUGCUUCUUUGUUGCUUAACUAAUAAUCUUCACAAUCUGAAUCUUGAACUUAGGCCUACUAAUGGCAGUCAUCUGUCCGGCAGAGUGCUGCUCGAGGCAUCACUGUGAGUUAGACACUAUUUUUGGCCUCUUCCAGCACAGGUCCAUGUGUUAUAAUGCUGUCGAGUGUUGAAAUUGGAUGGAAAUAAUGAAAUUAGAAGAACUUUCAUUAUAAUUAACAAAACAAAUAAUUAGAAUU